GGGGAUGAUCGGUUUCGACAUCGCCUGCGAAACUGCGAGAAGCGGGCCGAGGAUGCAGGGUUAUCUCGUUAACGAUCCCCGCAAACAACAGGUGCCAAUCUCAAGCGCACCGACGUUGCUCUUGCUGCGUAAGCAGUAGAGCUCAGAACGUCCGUCAGACCGGGUUUGCCUUCGCCCCGGACCCUGGCGUCAUCUAGAGGGCUUGCUGGUCAGUUGUGUUUCAGGGCUGAUCGGGACUUUCACUGAUACUGGGCUCGUCGAUCUAGAUGCUCGUGGCAAAGAUCGGAGCCGAGCAGAACGCCUUUCACGAGCUGCGCCCGGAGAAGGCGCAGGCUCACAGCGAUGGACGGGGGUUCAAUUCCCCCCAUCUCCACCA
rnacentral:tmRNA from 1 species